rnacentral:rRNA from 1 species
GACGAACGCUGGCGGCGUGCUUAACACAUGCAAGUCGAACGGAAAGGCCCUGCUUUUGUGGGGUGCUCGAGUGGCGAACGGGUGAGUAACACGUGAGUAACCUGCCCUUGACUUUGGGAUAACUUCAGGAAACUGGGGCUAAUACCGGAUAGGAGCUCCUGCUGCAUGGUGGGGGUUGGAAAGUUUCGGCGGUUGGGGAUGGACUCGCGGCCUAUCAGCUUGUUGGUGGGGUAGUGGCUUACCAAGGCUUUGACGGGUAGCCGGCCUGAGAGGGUGACCGGCCACAUUGGGACUGAGAUACGGCCCAGACUCCUACGGGAGGCAGCAGUGGGGAAUAUUGCACAAUGGGCGGAAGCCUGAUGCAGCAACGCCGCGUGCGGGAUGACGGCCUUCGGGUUGUAAACCGCUUUCGCCUGUGACGAAGCGUGAGUGACGGUAAUGGAUAAAGAAGCACCGGCUAACUACGUG